rnacentral:tRNA from 1 species
GGGGUUGUGGCUCAGUGGUAGAGAACUUGCCUGCAACGUAUGAUGCCCUGGGUUCCAUCCUCAGCACCA